CAGCACAACCAAACUUUUGCUGGAAUCCAAUUUUUAAUCAUCAUUGACAAGAAAAGGACCUCCCCAGCUCUAGGAUUACAUACCACGCACCUCCCUUUCGAGCCUGUCAGCUGGGGAGGCAGCCCCACGGCGAUGCUCUGCAGUGUGCUGUAACCAUGAGUGUCUCUUCCCCUCUCAGUUUUCAUGUUCCCAGUGAGGCACAGCUUCUUCAGUGACAGACUGAAACAUGACAUUUUCUUGUCCUAAUGAGAAAUGCCCAGCACAGGACUCCUGGUGCCUGAACCCCAAGCCCCAAAGCCACCUAGGCAUGCUGAAGGCUAUCUUCCAUCAUGUGCUUUCCCAAAUGGCACUUUUUACUGUCUCUCUCCUCCUAGCUAGGACUUGAACCCAAGGGAAGAGAAACUCAUAUAUUAAUAGAGGGGCUGAGCUUCUGACCUGUGCUGCCAGCAUGGCUGCAGGGUCCUUCCACAGCAGCUCCAUCCCCUUCACCCACACCAUGGCACUGCUGUGCAGACGGGGAGCUGGGGGAAAACUUGGUGGCAGAUCAGGAACAUGAGGGCAGAUGAAAGAAGCUCAUCUGCAGAGGGAGGAGGAAGUCCUGCGUGUGCUGCACAAAUGCAAACAGAGGCCAAGAAGCCACAGCAUAUCUUUCAUACCAAUGUGCCGUUCAGGAAGCUAAGAUUUUAGUUCUCUACUUGGCAACAGUGAAGGAUGCAAAUGGCUCUUUGGGAAGCUAAAACUUGCAGGCAAAUAAGGUGUUUCCCCUUGAAUUUCUAGGAACAAGAUGAAUGUGAGGCCCUGGCACAGGCUGCCCAGAGAAGCUGUGGAUGCCUCAUCCCUGGAGGUGCUCAAGGUCAGGCUGGAUGGGGCUUUGGGCAACCUGGGCUGGAGGGAGGUGUCCCUGCCCAUGGCAGGGGGUUGGAAUGAGAUGGACUUUAAGGUUCCUUCCAACCCAACCCAUUCUGUGACUCUGAUUCUAAUGUCCACGGCAUACAGGAAUCCUCCAGGUCUCCAGAGCAAGGGAAUGCUCAGGGGAAGCAGGUUGUUGCACAUGUCUCUCUGCCCCAGGAAAGUCACUGUGCCCUUCUCAGAAGGAUGGAGAGCAGCAGCUGCUGCAGGACAUGCACACUCUAGAGCACCAAAGUGA
rnacentral:lncRNA from 1 species